rnacentral:rRNA from 1 species
UUCUGGCUCAGGAUGAACGCUAGCUACAGGCUAACACAUGCAAGUCGAGGGGCAGCAUUGGAGUAGCAAUACUCAGAUGGCGACCGGCGCACGGGUGAGUAACACGUAUCCAACCUGCCGCUUACUCGGGGAUAGACCUUUCGAAAGAAAGAUUAAUACCCGAUGGUAUAAAGAGUUCGCAUGUUCUCUUUAUUAAAGAAUUUCGGUAAGCGAUGGGGAUGCGUUCCAUUAGAUAGUUGGCGGGUAACGGCCCACCAAGUCUACGAUGGAUAGGGGUUCUGAGAGGAAGGUCCCCCACAUUGGAACUGAGACACGGUCCAAACUCCUACGGGAGGCAGCAGUGAGGAAUAUUGGUCAAUGGACGAGAGUCUGAACCAGCCAAAAGUAGCGUGAAGGAUGACUGCCCUAUGGGUUGUAAACUUCUUUUAUAAGGGAAUAAAGUGAGGGACGUGUCCCUUUUUGUAUGUACCUUAUGAAUAAGGAUCGGCUAACUCCGUGCCAGCCGCCGC